rnacentral:rRNA from 1 species
UACGUAGGUGGCGAGCGUUUGUCCGGAUUUACUGGGCGUAAAGGGCGUGCAGGCGGUUUGUUUAAGUGCAGGGUGAAAGCUCCCGGCUCAACUGGGAGAGGUCCUUGCAUACUGGCGAACUCGAGGGAGGCAGAGGAAAGUGGAAUUCCCGGUGUAGUGGUGAUAUGCGUAGAUAUCGGGAGGAACACCUGUGGCGAAGGCGGCUUUCUGGGCCUUACCUGACGCUGAGACGCGAAAGCGUGGGGGAGCAAACCGG